UCCAGAUUCACUAUCAAAGUGUAGGUCCAAAGUCCCUGAAGUCAUUAGCAGCCUGCCAGUGCUCUGUUUGUAUAAACAAUCUCCUCUAACACCAAGCUGGGAGUGGCAGUAUGUCCGUACAUGUGGUAACAACUGGAGAAAGUCCACCACUUCUGAAUUUAAAAGAAGGAUAGGUUGUGGCCUGGAGGGCAAGCUAAGUGAUCAUUAUUUGAAUGAUCGAGUGUUCAAUGUCAGUUGUUCUUUUGGGGUUUACUGUUAAAUUUAUCUGUUUGGGGCUAAAAGUUGCUUUAAUUAUACUUCAGUUCCCGCACAGCUAUGUCCACACAAGUAUGUUCAAUCCUGAAGAAGCAUUGAUGGAUGAGUUUGAUACAUAUGCAGUACCAUAUAGUGGACUAUUCUGUCUCUCAACAUUCACCUUCACACAGUUUUGACCAGCUCUCCUCACAAUCUCUUCAACUCUCACUCCUUUCUAAGCUCUGUGGAAGAAGAGGAAGCCUUGAGCCUAGGAAGCACUGGAAGGACGAUAAGGAUAUCUGGAGUAAAGUGGAUUAUUCUGUAAAUCUUGCCCUCUGAGGACUGUACAGAGAAAUGCUGACAACUUUAUUUGGACAGCAAAAGAGAGAAGCCAUAUAAAUACAGAUUUCUAUAUUUGCAGAGCACACAAGAUCAGUUUCAUUCUCCAAAUACAACUGGAAAAGUCUAAUUUAUAGUAUUAACAUAUUAUGGCAUUGCACAAUGACAUACUGGCUGAUAUCAGUAGUGAAUUGAAUAUACUGUAUACUGAAUUUGUAUUUGUACAGUGUCACUAUGUAAAUACUUUUCCAAAGGUCAGGGAAUCAGG
ensembl:lncRNA